rnacentral:rRNA from 1 species
AUUGAACGCUGGCGGCAGGCCUAACACAUGCAAGUCGAACGGUAACAGGAAGACGCUUGCUUCUUUGCUGAUGAGUGGCGGACGGGUGAGUAAUGUCUGGGAAACUGCCUGAUGGAGGGGGAUAACUACUGGAAACGGUAGCUAAUACCGCAUAACGUCGCAAGACCAAAAAGGGGGACCUUCGGGCCUCUUGCCAUCGGAUGUGUCCAGAUGGGAUUAGCUAGUAGGUGGGGUAACGGCUCACCUAGGCGACGAUCCCUAGCUGGUCUGAGAGGAUGACCAGCCACACUGGAACUGAGACACGGUCCAGACUCCUACGGGAGGCAGCAGUGGGGAAUAUUGCACAAUGGGCGCAAGCCUGAUGCAGCCAUGCCGCGUGUAUGAAGAAGGCCUUCGGGUUGUAAAGUACUUUCAGCGGGGAGGAAGGGAGUAAAGUUAAUACCUUUGCUCAUUGACGUUACCCGCAGAAGAAGCACCGGCUAACUCCGUG